AGAGUUUGAUCCUGGCUCAGGACGAACGCUGGCGGCGUGCUUAACACAUGCAAGUCGAGCGGAAAGGCCCUUCGGGGUACUCGAGCGGCGAACGGGUGAGUAACACGUGAGUAACCUGCCCCUGACUCUGGGAUAAGCCCGGGAAACUGGGUCUAAUACCGGAUAUGACACCUCCUCGCAUGGGGUGGGUGUGGAAAGUUUUUCGGUUGGGGAUGGACUCGCGGCCUAUCAGCUUGUUGGUGGGGUAAUGGCCUACCAAGGCGACGACGGGUAGCCGGCCUGAGAGGGCGACCGGCCACACUGGGACUGAGACACGGCCCAGACUCCUACGGGAGGCAGCAGUGGGGAAUUUUGGACAAUGGGCGAAAGCCUGAUCCAGCCAUGCCGCGUGCAGGAUGAAGGCCUUCGGGUUGUAAACUGCCUUUGUACGGAACGAAACGGCCUUUUCUAAUAAAGAGGGCUAAUGACGGUACCGUAAGAAUAAGCACCGGCUAACUACGUGCCAGCAGCCGCGGUAAUACGUAGGGUGCAAGCGUUAAUCGGAAUUACUGGGCGUAAAGCGUGCGCAGGCGGUUAUGUAAGACAGUUGUGAAAUCCCCGGGCUCAACCUGGGAACUGCAUCUGUGACUGCAUAGCUAGAGUACGGUAGAGGGGGAUGGAAUUCCGCGUGUAGCAGUGAAAUGCGUAGAUAUGCGGAGGAACACCGAUGGCGAAGGCAAUCCCCUGGACCUGUACUGACGCUCAUGCACGAAAGCGUGGGGAGCAAACAGGAUUAGAAACCCUGGUAGUCCACGCCCUAAACGAUGUCAACUGGUUGUUGGGUCUUCACUGACUCAGUAACGAAGCUAACGCGUGAAGUUGACCGCCUGGGGAGUACGGUCCAAGGUUGAAACUCAAAGGAAUUGACGGGGGCCCGCACAAGCGGUGGAUGAUGUGGUUUAAUUCGAUGCAACGCGAAGAACCUUACCAGCCCUUGACAUGCCAGGACGACUUCCAGAGAUGGAUUUCUCUCGAAAGAGAACCGUAACACAGGUGCUGCAUGGCUGUCGUCAGCUCGUGUCGUGAGAUGUUGGGUUAAGUCCCGCAACGAGCGCAACCCUUGUCAUUAGUUGCUACAUUCAGUUGGGCACUCUAAUGAGACUGCCGGUGACAACUCGGAGGAAGGUGGGGAUGACGUCAAGUCAUCAUGCCCCUUAUGUCUUGGGCUGCAAACAUGCUACAAUGGCCGGUACAGAGGGCUGCGAUACCGCAAGGUGGAGCGAAUCCCUAAAAAGCCGGUCUCAGUUCGGAUUGGGGUCUGCAACUCGACCCCAUGAAGUCGGAGUCGCUAGUAAUCGCAGAUCAGCA
rnacentral:rRNA from 1 species